rnacentral:lncRNA from 1 species
CCAUGCUUCCUUGUCAAAACUUAGUCCCGGUUCAGUCAGUAGUUCAUAUGCUAUUGUACCCCUCAUCAAGUCCAUUGUUUCCACUCCAUAGUCUGACAAAAAUAUUUCACAUUCCGAAAUUGCGUGCUCCAUGAAUUUGAUAACAAACAAUGCGCAGUCCACCCUGAAAUAUUUAAUUAAUGAAUAAAUCAAAUUGCAUUCAUCGUAAUAAGGAAUAACAAUUCAAAAUUCUAAAGCUUACGAAGAGCCUUGAUGCGGCAAAUCAGGUGCUUCAUUUAUAGGACCAUCUUCGUAACAAACAUCUCCAGGUUUGAUUAGUUUCUUGUUCAGCAAAGGAGUGACAUAUUUGGCCUGUUUCAAAUGUUUAAACUUCGAUAAAAUUCUAAAUCAUUAUAAAAUUGUUACAAAAUUACAAUAGUUUAAGAAAGUUAACUCACAAUGGCUUUACAAUCGCUCAGAAUACGUUUGUCGAAAGCUUUGUUCCCAGCAAGAGAGUUAUAAAGAGUCCAUCCAAAACCUUUCUCGAGCACAAGAAGACUCCAGUGAUACCCAGCCUUGUCUCUAGCAGUUCUUCAAGUGUUUAAUGGAAACAAAAAGAGCGUCUCCUUUCCAUUGAAUUUUUCAAUCACUUCCUUCCAGUACAUGUCUUCCUUAUUUU